AGAGUUUGAUCAUGGCUCAGAUUGAACGCUGGCGGCAGGCCUAACACAUGCAAGUCGAGCGGUAGCACAGAGAGCUUGCUCUCGGGUGACGAGCGGCGGACGGGUGAGUAAUGUCUGGGAAACUGCCUGAUGGAGGGGGAUAACUACUGGAAACGGUAGCUAAUACCGCAUAAUGUCGCAAGACCAAAGUGGGGGACCUUCGGGCCUCAUGCCAUCAGAUGUGCCCAGAUGGGAUUAGCUAGUAGGUGGGGUAACGGCUCACCUAGGCGACGAUCCCUAGCUGGUCUGAGAGGAUGACCAGCCACACUGGAACUGAGACACGGUCCAGACUCCUACGGGAGGCAGCAGUGGGGAAUAUUGCACAAUGGGCGCAAGCCUGAUGCAGCCAUGCCGCGUGUGUGAAGAAGGCCUUCGGGUUGUAAAGCACUUUCAGCGGGGAGGAAGGCGAUAAGGUUAAUAACCUUGGCGAUUGACGUUACCCGCAGAAGAAGCACCGGCUAACUCCGUGCCAGCAGCCGCGGUAAUACGGAGGGUGCAAGCGUUAAUCGGAAUUACUGGGCGUAAAGCGCACGCAGGCGGUCUGUCAAGUCGGAUGUGAAAUCCCCGGGCUCAACCUGGGAACUGCAUUCGAAACUGGCAGGCUAGAGUCUUGUAGAGGGGGGUAGAAUUCCAGGUGUAGCGGUGAAAUGCGUAGAGAUCUGGAGGAAUACCGGUGGCGAAGGCGGCCCCCUGGACAAAGACUGACGCUCAGGUGCGAAAGCGUGGGGAGCAAACAGGAUUAGAUACCCUGGUAGUCCACGCCGUAAACGAUGUCGAUUUGGAGGUUGUGCCCUUGAGGCGUGGCUUCCGGAGCUAACGCGUUAAAUCGACCGCCUGGGGAGUACGGCCGCAAGGUUAAAACUCAAAUGAAUUGACGGGGGCCCGCACAAGCGGUGGAGCAUGUGGUUUAAUUCGAUGCAACGCGAAGAACCUUACCUGGUCUUGACAUCCACAGAACUUUCCAGAGAUGGAUUGGUGCCUUCGGGAACUGUGAGACAGGUGCUGCAUGGCUGUCGUCAGCUCGUGUUGUGAAAUGUUGGGUUAAGUCCCGCAACGAGCGCAACCCUUAUCCUUUGUUGCCAGCGGUUCGGCCGGGAACUCAAAGGAGACUGCCAGUGAUAAACUGGAGGAAGGUGGGGAUGACGUCAAGUCAUCAUGGCCCUUACGACCAGGGCUACACACGUGCUACAAUGGCAUAUACAAAGAGAAGCGACCUCGCGAGAGCAAGCGGACCUCAUAAAGUAUGUCGUAGUCCGGAUUGGAGUCUGCAACUCGACUCCAUGAAGUCGGAAUCGCUAGUAAUCGUAGAUCAGAAUGCUACGGUGAAUACGUUCCCGGGCCUUGUACACACCGCCCGUCACACCAUGGGAGUGGGUUGCAAAAGAAGUAGGUAGCUUAACCUUCGGGAGGGCGCUUACCACUUUGUGAUUCAUGACUGGGGUGAAGUCGUAACAAGGUAACCGUAGGGGAACCUGCGGUUGGAUCACCU
rnacentral:rRNA from 2 species